rnacentral:rRNA from 1 species
GACGAACGUUGGCGGCGUGCUUAAUACAUGCAAGUCUACUGAAGCAGUGGUAGCAAUAUCGCUGUGGAGGUGGCGCACGGGUGAGUAACACGUAGGUAAUCUGCCUUCAGGUCUGGCAUAACUCCGGGAAACCGGGGCUAAUAGCAGAUGAUGCAGCGGCUCGACAUCGAGACAGUUGUUAAAGCUAUGUCGCCUGAAGAUGAGCCUGCGUCUGAUUAGCUAGUUGGCGGGGUAACGGCCCACCAAGGCAACGAUCAGUAGCUGGUCUGAGAGGAUGAUCAGCCACACUGGAACUGAGACACGGUCCAGACUCCUACGGGAGGCAGCAGUAAGGAAUAUUGCUCAAUGGGAGAAAUCCUGAAGCAGCAACGCCGCGUGAGGGACGAAGGGCUUUUGCUUGUAAACCUCUGUAGUGAGAGAAAAAAAUCCCAAUCUUUGGGACAUGAUGGUAUCUCAAAAGUAAGCCCCGGCUAACUACGUG